rnacentral:lncRNA from 1 species
AAAGCGCUACAAGGGUCGAACUCAAUAAUAACUAGAGCUCGGCUUCAGAAUCGAUCCUCCAUUCUCUAAGAGGAUCGUAGAUGAGCCACUUCCUUCAUAGUUUAAGAUGCCAUAAUUAGAACCAUACAACAGAACUUCAGAUCUUGUCGACUACUUGGAGAGCUUUAAAGCUCUGAUGCUCCUUCAUGGGGCAACUGAUGGAAUUUUUUAUUGGAUAAGUCCAUCCACCUUAAGGAAGGCUGCCCGAUAUUAGUACUCGAGCCUUUAGUCCGACUUGAUUAGUUCUUCUGAAUAGCUCGAUCAAAUAUUAGCAACCCAUUUCAUCAAUAGCCAUCAAUAGUGCCAC